AUCUCUAGAAGGCAUCUGAAAGAGAUUAAAGAUUUAUCGGUGAUGGAUGGGGAUGCGUCUGAUUAGCUUGUUGGCGGGGUAACGGCCCACCAAGGCGACGAUCAGUAGGGGUUCUGAGAGGAAGUCCCCCCACAUUGGAACUGAGACACGGUCCAAACUCCUACGGGAGGCAGCAGUGAGGAAUAUUGGUCAAUGGACGAGAGUCUGAACCAGCCAAGUAGCGUGCAGGAUGACGGCCCUAUGGGUUGUAAACUGCUUUUAUAAGGGAAUAAAGUGAGCUUCGUGAGGCUUUUUGCAUGUACCUUAUGAAUAAGGACCGGCUAAUUCCGUGCCAGCAGCCGCGGUAAUACGGAAGGUCCGGGCGUUAUCCGGAUUUAUUGGGUUUAAAGGGAGCGUAGGCCGGAGAUUAAGCGUGUUGUGAAAUGUAGACGCUCAACGUCUGCACUGCAGCGCGAACUGGUUUCCUUGAGUACGCACAAAGUGGGCGGAAUUCGUGGUGUAGCGGUGAAAUGCUUAGAUAUCACGAAGAACUCCGAUUGCGAAGGCAGCUCACUGGAGCGCAACUGACGCUGAAGCUCGAAAGUGCGGGUAUCGAACAGGAUUAGAUACCCUGGUAGUCCGCACGGUAAACGAUGGAUGCCCGCUGUUGGUCUGAAUAGGUCAGCGGCCAAGCGAAAGCAUUAAGCAUCCCACCUGGGGAGUAC
rnacentral:rRNA from 1 species